AGGGCCCUUCGGAAAGAGGCGGAGCCUACCUCGCAUCAGGACCAGUCGGACUGCACCUGCAUCCUUAGCUCAGAGCAUCCCUGGAGCAUCUAAGAGGAAAGCGCAGCUAGCAACCAGAGAUCGGACUGUCGCAGGGGCAGUCUGCCAGGCACCUUCCCCUCCCCUGAUCCGGAGGUCUACAGCCGCGGCCUCGGUACCGACCGAGAUUCCCAAAGUUGUCUGACCUCUGCAAAAGUGUUGCUACAGCAGCCUCUGAUUACAACAUGGCUGAGAUCACAAAUAUACGCCCCAGCUUUGAUCAGAAAUUCUCGGGGCAGUCUUUGCAGAAGCAGAAAGAAGAUCCUCUUCCACAGCCAGUCUACCUCCCUAUUUAGACUUGAUAACCAACAAGAUGGAAAACCCUGUUUCACAAAGAUAUGUUGUUGCAAAUGGAAGAAGUCAUCCCAACACAGUCUCAGACAAAACCGAAAUGACUGCAGCUGCUUGAUCCAGAAUUUUGUACUGGCAUUGAAGGAACUCAACUCUCACGGUAUCGCUUCUCCUAAGUGAAACGAAUUCCUCUUGUGCUGUCUCAGGAAUAUUUUCAAGUUUGACUGUGAAUGAGUUUCUGGCAAGUGUAAAUGGAGUGUCUACAAACGUGCAAGUGUCCUUUCACAGAAAUAAUCAUUGUAAUCUUUUUUUCUGGUUAAAUGUCAUGUACCUCAAAGAAAACAGAUAGGGUAGGCAACAUGCAAAUUUUAUUUUCAUCCUUUUUUUUUUUUUUUUUUUUUUUUGCCAAAGCUGAAGUUUCAUUUGGAAUGAUAUGGUAUUUUCAGUAAAAUUGAGGCAUGUUGCAUUGGACCUUGCAGUGAUAAAUUUAACUCACUCAAGAUGGCAAAGAUGAUAACCAAUUAAGCUACUUUCUGUUUUAAUUUUAACCACUCAAAAUGCUUUGAACUGCCAUCUUGCUUUCUGAUUAAAAACAUUUUGAGUCCACCA